AUGGCUUCAAAGAGGUUUUUGCUUAUUUGGGUGGUUCUCUUUCUUUGUGUGUUGAGUCUUUCUACCAAACCACUAGCAAGGAACAUUCCUAAUGUUUCUAAACUCUCAGUAGGUUCAGAUAAAAUGGUUACGAAUAAAAGAGUGCUUGACCAAGAUACUGGAGGACCUGCAUGUAAGAGGGGAAGAUUGACUUAUACCGUGAGUCGUAUCCCAGAUGAUCCACGUUGCCACCACUAUUAA